UACGAAGGGGGCUAGCGUUGUUCGGAAUUACUGGGCGUAAAGCGCGCGCAGGCGGCUAUCCAAGUCAGUGGUGAAAGCCCGGAGCUCAACUCCGGAACUGCCAUUGAAACUGUUUAGCUUGAGGACGAGAGAGGUGAGUGGAAUUCCCAGUGUAGAGGUGAAAUUCGUAGAUAUUGGGAAGAACACCGGUGGCGAAGGCGGCUCACUGGCUCGUAUCUGACGCUGAGGCGCGAAAGCGUGGGGAGCAAACAGG
rnacentral:rRNA from 1 species